rnacentral:rRNA from 1 species
AACGAACGCUGGCGGCAUGCCUAACACAUGCAAGUCGAACGAGACCUUCGGGUCUAGUGGCGCACGGGUGCGUAACGCGGGGGAACCUGCCCUUAGGUUCGGAAUAACUCCCCGAAAGGGGUGCUAAUACCGGAUAAUGUCUUCGGACCAAAGAUUUAUCGCCUUUGGAUGGGCCCGCGUUGGAUUCGCUAGUUGGUAGGGUAAAAGCCUACCAAGGCGACGAUCCAUAGCUGGUCUGGGAGGAUGAUCAGCCACACUGGGACUGAGACACGGCCCAGACUCCUACGGGAGGCAGCAGUAGGGAAUAUUGGACAAUGGGCGAAAGCCUGAUCCAGCAAUGCCGGGUGAGUGAUGAAGGCCUUAGGGUUGUAAAGCUCUUUUACCCGGGAUGAUAAUGACAGUACCGGGAGAAUAAGCUCCGGCUAACUCCGUG